rnacentral:lncRNA from 1 species
GUCGCGGACGGUGGCGUUACUGGAGAGCGGCUGUCAGCGGGCGGGCAGCCAUGUGGCGCUGGAGGCUCCUUCCCUCGGUGCUGCUACUCGCCGUCCUGGUCCCUGUCAGAGGUGAUCUUGAUGACUUCAGCUUAGAAGAGGCACUUGACACUACAAAGAAGCCUCUUCCAUCUCGGAAACCACCAGCAUCAGAUCAUGAUGAUUUCAACUUGGAAGAUGCUUUUCAACCUGAUGAACCCAAGCCAGGUCCACCUGCAAAUCCUAGAGACACUGGUAAGACUGACUUAACAGGAAUUGCUGAACAGUAG